rnacentral:rRNA from 1 species
CCUACGGGGGGCAGCAGUGAGGAAUAUUGGUCAAUGGGCGAGAGCCUGAACCAGCCAAGUCGCGUGAAGGAUACAGGAUCUAUGGUUUGUAAACUUCUUUUAUAUGGGAAUAAAGUGAGGAACGUGUUCCUUUUUGUAUGUACCAUAUGAAUACGCAUCGGCUAACUCCGUGCAAGCGGCCGCGGUAAUACGGAGAAUGCGAGCGUUAUCCGGAUUUAUUGGGUUUAAAGGGUGCGUAGGUGGUUAAUUAAGUCAGCGGUGAAAGUUUGUGGCUAAACCAGAAAAGUGCCGUUGAGACUGGUUGACUUGAGUAUAUAUGCGGUAGGAGGAAUGCGUGGUGUAGCGGUGAAAUGCAUAGAUAUCACGCAGAACUCCGAUUGCGAAGGCAGCUUACGAAACUAUAACUGACACUGAAGCACGAAAGCGUGGGGAUCAAACAGGAUUAGAUACCCGAGUAGUC